ensembl:lncRNA
AUGUCACUUCCUGUGCCAACAGGUGCUGUUUAUGAGCGUGGAUCCAUCUGCUUCACAUCUGAUUUGGAACAGACACAGAUACAGCAGGGCCAUCAGGGCAGCAUAACAGGUUACCAACAUUCUUUACAUAUUCACACAGAAUGGCUUGAAUGUUACCCAGAUUCACUCUGGUGAUAUCUAACUUCCAUAUGUGAACAGCAGCAGAUAUAGGCUACAGCAGACAAAUCAGACAAAGGAGCAUAACAGGUUACCUCUCCCUAUUUCACACAGAAUGGUUUGAAUAUUACAUAAAUUCACUCUGGAGAUGUCUAACCUUCUCUCUUUUAUUUCCUAGAACACAUUUUGGUCUGAUGUAAACAGCUGCAGAUAUACAGAAGUGUCACUGAAUCAGUCAAAGCAGCAUAACAGGUUACCAAAGUUUGUUACACCACUAUUUCACAAAGAUUGGUUGUAAUGUUACCUAAAUUCACUCGGGUGAUGUCUAACCUCCUCUGUUUCAUGCUCUUUAAAGCAUUUUGGUCUGAUAUGAACAGACAUAGAUACAACAGGUCACCAAAUCCAACAACGCAGCAUUAAAGGUUACUGAAAUCUAUUACCCCCCUCUAUUUGACACAGAUAAUGGUUGUAAUGUCAAUCAAAUUCAAAAUGUAUUACCAUUUUUAUUUUAUCCUAGAAAAUAUUUUGGCCUGAUAUGAACAGACGCAGAUGUACAGCAGCAUCACCAAAUCCGAUGACCGGAUUAUCUGUUAUACCUACAUCUGUUAAGCCACACAGAAUGUGUCACCCAGAUUCACUAGUGAUGUCUGACUUCCUCUGUUGUAUAUCCUAGAAAAUGUUUGUUCUGAUGAACAGACAAAUAUACAGCAGGGUCACCAAAUCCAACAAGGAAGCAUAACAGGUUACCGAAAUGUGUUCCCACCCCCUGUUUCACAGUGAAUAGCUUUAAUGUUACCCAGAUUCACUCUAGUAAUGUCUGUCUGACUCUACUUAAUAUAUCCUACAAAAUAUUUUGGUCUGAUAUACAGAUAUACAACAGGGACACCAAAUCCAACAACACAGCAUUAGAGGACACCAAAAUCUGUUACCGCCCUCUAUUUCACACAAAAUGGCUUUAAUGCUACCCACAUUCCCUCUGGUGAUUUCUAACUUCCUGUAUUUUAUAUCUUACAAUGCAUUUUGGUCUGAUGCGAACAGACACAGAACCAGCAGGGUCACCAAAUAUGAGAACACAGCAUUAAAGGUUACAGAAAUCCAUUAUCCUCCAGAAUUUUCACACUGAAUUGCUUUAAUGUUAUUCAAAUUCACUCCGGUGAUGGCUAACCUCCUGUUUUUUUACUCUCUAGAAACCAGUUUAGUCUGACAUGAAUAGAUACAGCAGGGUAUGACAAGGUAAAUAUGCAUCUUAAAAACAGCAUAUCAUCAUCUAGUGACAGGUUUCCCCAGGUCAUUGAUUUCGGCACAGCAGAUAUCAAUGCUUCUAAUAAUUUACCUGAUUUAAUCCACCUGCAAAUUUUCUUGUUUUAAGCAUAAAGAUUUAUGCGAAUAUUUGAAAUCAAGGUUAAAUAUUUUACCCAGUUUUGCUUUAAGCUAAUUUAUCCUUUAAAGGAUACUUUAUUUUUAUUUGCACAAAUACUUCUACUUUUUAAAUAGCAGUGAAUUUUACUAUUCACAAAAACUUUUUCCACAGAAAAAAAUAAAAAUAACAGCAACUGGUAACA